AGAUUUUUGUUUAUAUUUUAAAGGUUAAAAUUUUGUGAAUAAUUUAUGAAAUCAAUUUAAAAAUGCUUUGAGAAUGUGCAGCUGUUUCUAAUUAAGUAACCGUUACUUAUUUUUGAUAUACUUCGUGUUAACAUUCUUCAUAUCUCAAUAAUCGAUAAAUAAAAUUCUGAUGUCGAGUGGAAGAAAUUUAAGAUUACGUUCAUAUCCUCAAGCGUUAGCGUCCUGUUACUCAGAAGCCUCAGCUUAUGCAUUGUGUGUUUCCCAAAAAGAUGAUAUAAAGAAAAAUGAUUGCAAUUCAGAAUUCCAAUUGCUGAAAAAGUGCUUUCAUAAAAAUAUUAAAAACAUAGUUUCAAAGAAAAGUUGAUGUUCUCUAAGAGUCAAGAAUUAUUUUGUUCUUUUGAAAGAAAAGCUUUCUUUAGUGUAAUAAAUGUGUCAUAGCUGUUGGGAAUAAAAUACUGUAUUCUUUUUUAAACAA